rnacentral:lncRNA from 1 species
AAUAUCCCCAGUUCCCUCCACAGUUCUUAGAGGAAGUGAUAUUUAUACUGAGACAAAAGGAGGGAAGAGGUGGAAGGAGCACGAGGUGGAAAGACAGGCAGGAAUCUAAUCCCAGGAGAAUCGAAGAGCAUGUGCACAAUCUCAGAGCAGGAGACAGCACCAAGGCCACCAAGAAGGCUUUGUAGAGUGUCAGUGCUUCAGGAGGUACCAGCUGGGAAUGGGCAGCAGUCUGAAAGAUUGUCUCGUGGGGUCUGAUCAGCACAGCGGGAGCCAUUCCAACCUUUGGGCAGGAAGUGCUCAGAGCGGGUUUGCAUUGCAGGCAGAUCUCACCAGCUGCGAUAUGAACGAAUGAAGAAGUGAUAUGUGGAGGUGUAGCAGCCAUUCCGUGACCUGGACAUGGUGAGCAUGAAGAUAAAAGCCAAUGCGUAAAAGACAGCCGAGUAAAGAGUAGGACAGGCGCCUUGUCCCUGAUUGCAUCACAAGGCUGCUGCCCAGGCUCUGAAAUUGCAAUUUUCCUCCUUGAAGUACCACACAAGACUCAGCUGGAUUUCAAGGCUUUCUUCUUUCUCUUCUCAAGUCGAUGUAAACAAGAACAGAAUGACACAUUCACAGCCAGCUUCGCAUCUUGUCAUCUAGGUGGCCCAGGCACAGGAAAUCCAGGCCCCCAGUCUGCCUUCAUGUAGGGCUUAUUCAAAAUGGAAUGUGCUCAUGUCACCCCAGGAUUGAAACUUCUCCUGAUUCAGGGUGGCUCCCUGCCAAUGAGCAACGAGUGUACCUCAUGACGUGGCGGGAAUAGCCGGAAGUCCGCGGCUGCAGCUGGGGACAAAUAAAUGAGCCCCAGAUCCCUCGUGCUCUGGUAUCUUCCUGUCACCCUCCCUUCCUCUCUUAGGGACAGGCACUUUAUUCUGAAGUGAUCAAUCACAAUGAGUUGACCUUUGUAUUUAUGCUAGACUGUUCGCAUUAAGGGAUGUGCAUGUCCUCCCAAAGAAACGUUCAGUGUCUCCGUAACUGAUGCAUUUAUGAGACUCAAAUAAAAAAAGUUCUUUAAAGCACAGAAAGUGUCUGGGACGUGGGCCUGGCGAGGCCUCCCGCGGACGUGUUGACCAUGGCGGGCAGAGGUCUCUUGGCACAUCUCCUCCCAUCUCAUGGCGAAAAAUCUGGAGCUAGAUGAAAACCACCAACUCACACAUUCUGAAUCUCUAAAAUGUUUACUUCUAAAAUCGGAGCAUUGCAUAUAUUUAACUCCCUAGGCAUCUUUUCCAUUGAAAUUUAAAGUACAGCUAGAAGAUAAGGUUGUUUAUACUGGACUAUAGAAGCGUUGAUGACAGAAUAAUAACGAAAAAGCACUUCUGCUCUUAAGUUGUCAAAAAAAAACCCCACCCCAUCUUCUGUACAUUUAGUCUAUUUCCACGAGACUUACCUACUAUAGAAAAAAAAAUGAUGUU